CGGGAAUUUUGGGCAAUGGGCGAAAGCCUGACCCAGCAACGCCGCGUGAGGGAUGAAGUAUUUCGGUAUGUAAACCUCGAAAGAAUGGGAAGAAUAAAUGACGGUACCAUUUAUAAGCUCCGGCUAACUACGUGCCAGCAGCCGCGGUAAUACGUAGGGAGCAAGCGUUGUUCGGUUUUACUGGGCGUAAAGGGCGCGUAGGCGGCGCGGUAAGUCACUUGUGAAAUCUCUGAGCUUAACUCAGAACGGCCAAGUGAUACUGCUGUGCUAGAGUGCGGAAGAGGCAACCGGAAUUCUUGGUGUAACGGUGAAAUGCGUAGAUAUCAAGAGGAACACCUGAGGCGAAGGCGGGUUGCUGGGCCGACACUGACGCUGAUGCGCGAAAGCCAGGGGAGCAAACG
rnacentral:rRNA from 1 species